rnacentral:rRNA from 1 species
CCCUUAGAUGUUCUGGGCGGCCCGCGCACUACAAUGGCGCUUUCAGCGAGUUCCUAUGUUGAAUUUUCCUUGGUAUUCUUGGAAGCGGCGUCUUGACUUGGGAUAGAUCCUUGUAAUUGUUGGUUUUGAACGAGGAAUUCCUUGUAAUCGCGGUUGAUCAGCUCGCGUUGAAUACGUCCCUGCCCUUUGUACACACCGCCCGUCGCUCCUACCGAUGAAUCGUCCGGUGAAGUUCACAGAGUGGCGGUUCGUGGAGUUGCUCGCGAAGUGAAAUGGACCUCACGAUUUAGAGGAAGGAGAAGCCGUAACA